CCCCUAAAAGUGGGAACCUAGAUUCGUGUGGCUCUUCGAAAUGGUGUUGGGUUUUGUUGUGGCUCUUUUAGCUGGACUGGUUAGCCACCCCUGGUGUAGGCCUACCUUAUCAUCAUGAGUGUAGCUAUGUUGUCAGUAUUUGUAAUAAAAUGUGUUGGCCGCAAGUUAACUCCACUUCACGUUAAUGAUAGCUUUUGUAUGAGCAGACCGGGCUCAGCUUGCCUCACGUGUACAAUACAAUAACAUAUGCCGUUUAAUCAUAUUUGGUAGAAUGAAGGACAAAUUAGUUGUGAAUACUAUCACCGAGUUUGAAAGGUAGGCUAUUGGUCAGGUAAUAGCCGAGUGACAGCUGAUUUUCUUUCUGAUUUGACAGUAGCCUACAUCUGUGUGUUUUAAGCAAAUAAAAUGUGAAAUAGGCUAUUUACCAACGGGCACCUGCUAUCUUGGAUUAUACAGUAAAUAAGUUGCGAAAUGAAACAAAAACACAUCACAGUUAAAGUUGUAUUAGUAUUGAUUGAUUCACAUCGAUAUGAAUGGAUGACAUGACUAACAAGUGGCGAAAAAUGAAUAUGAAAGUACCAGUACCAGUGGCGAAAAAAGACAGAUCACAGAAGUUCGUUUAUUGAUACAUAUUUUAAUGACGGCCACAGCGCUUUAAAACGCCGUGUUUAUAAGUUACAUUAUUCAAAGAUGAAAAAUAGAAGGCGAGAGAUUUGCCAGGUGUACCUUCUCAUCAUGAGUGAAUGUCAGUGCUUGUAAUACAAUGGUGUUGGCCGCGAGUUAACUCCACUUCACGUUAAUGUUAACUUUUGUAUAUGAGCAGACCAGGCUCCAUUCUAUCGCUUGCCUCAGGGGUGAAAUGUAUUGAUUCACAUCAAUAUGAAUGGAUGACAUGACUAACAAGUGGCGAAAAAUGAAUAUGAAAGUAUUUGUUCGGUGAAUUAGCGCGUUCUUUCCAAACAAUCGCAGUCAACGGUUUUUAAAUGUCAACACAGUAUAGCCUAUCAC
ensembl:lncRNA